GAAUUCGCCCUUAGAGUUUGAUCAUGGCUCAGGACGAACGCUGGCGGCAGGCCUAACACAUGCAAGUCGCACGAGAACGCUCCUUCGGGAGCUAGUAAAGUGGCGGACGGGUGAGUAACGCGUAGAUAACCUGCCCUUAAGAGAGGAAUAACUACUGGAAACGGUAGCUAAUGCCACAUAAUAUCAGUCUUUCGCAUGAUCGACUGAUCAAAGCCUUCGAGCGCUUAGGGAUGGAUCUGCGUCGGAUUAGCUUGUUGGUGAGGUAAAAGCUCACCAAGGCAGUAAUCCGUAGCUGGUCUGAGAGGAUGAUCAGCCACACUGGCACUGAGACACGGGCCAGACUCCUACGGGAGGCAGCAGUGGGGAAUCUUAGGCAAUGGGGGAAACCCUGACCUAGCCAUGCCGCGUGGAGGAAGACACCCCUAUGGGGCGUAAACUCCUUUUCUACUGGAAGAAAACCCUGUUUUUCAGGGCGUGACGGUACAGUAGGAAUAAGCACCGGCUAGCUCCGUGCCAGCAGCCGCGGUAAUACGGAGGGUGCAAGCGUUGUCCGGAAUCACUGGGUGUAAAGGGUGUGCAGGCGGGACAGCAAGUCAGAAGUGAAAGCCCACGGCUUAACCGUGGAAGUGCUUUUGAAACUGCUGUUCUUGAGUCUCGGAGAAGUUGCUGGAAUUCGUG
rnacentral:rRNA from 1 species